UACGUAGGGGGCGAGCGUUGUCCGGAAUCAUUGGGCGUAAAGCGCGUGUAGGCGGUCCGGUAAGUCCGCUGUGAAAGUCGGGGGCUCAACCCUCGGAUGCCGGUGGAUACUGCCGGGCUAGAGUCCGGAAGAGGCGAGUGGAAUUCCUGGUGUAGCGGUGGAAUGCGCAGAUAUCAGGAGGAACACCAAUAGCGAAGGCAGCUCGCUGGGACGGUACUGACGCUGAGGCGCGAAAGCGUGGGGAGCAAACAGG
rnacentral:rRNA from 1 species